rnacentral:tRNA from 1 species
GUAAGUGUAGUUUAACUAAAAAUUUUAGGUCGUGACCCUAAAGAUAAAGGUUAGAGCCCUUUCACUCACC